AACGAACGCUGGCGGCAUGCCUAACACAUGCAAGUCGAACGAGACCUUCGGGUCUAGUGGCGCACGGGUGCGUAACGCGUGGGAACCUGCCCUUAGGUUCGGAAUAACUCCCCGAAAGGGGUGCUAAUACCGGAUAAUGUCUUCGGACCAAAGAUUUAUCGCCUUUGGAUGGGUCCGCGUUGGCUUAGCUAGUUGGUAGGGUAAAAGCCUACCAAGGCGACGAUCCAUAGCUGGUCUGAGAGGAUGAUCAGCCACACUGGGACUGAGACACGGCCCAGACUCCUACGGGAAGCAGCAGUGGGGAAUAUUGGACAAUGGGCGAAAGCCUGAUCCAGCAAUGCCGCGUGAGUGAUGAAGGCCUUAGGGUUGUAAAGCUCUUUUACCCGGGAUGAUAAUGACAGUACCGGGAGAAUAAGCUCCGGCUAACUCCGUG
rnacentral:rRNA from 1 species